GGAGGAAUAUUGGACAAUGGAUGGAAAUCUGAUCCAGCCAUGCCGCGUGCAGGAAGACGGUCCUAUGGAUUGUAAACUGCUUUAGCAUGGGAGCAAUAAGGUGUACGCGUACACCGAUGAGAGUACCAUGAGAAUAAGCACCGGCUAACUCCGUGCCAGCAGCCGCGGUAAUACGGAGGGUGCAAGCGUUAUCCGGAUUUAUUGGGUUUAAAGGUGCGUAGGCUGUAAGUCAAGUCAGCGGUGAAAAGUCGGGGCUAAACCUUGAGGGUGCCGUUGAAACUGAUUUACUAGAAUGUGGAUGAUGCCGGCGGAAUGUGUCAAGUAGCGGUGAA
rnacentral:rRNA from 1 species